AUUGAACGCUGGCGGCAGGCCUAACACAUGCAAGUCGAACGAGUGGCGGACGGGUGAGUCAUGUCUGGGAAACUGCCUGAUGGAGGGGGAUAACUACUGGAAACGGUAGCUAAUACCGCAUACCAUCGGAUGUUCCCAGAUGGGAUUAGCUAGUAGGUGGGGUAAUGGCUCAACUAGGCGACGAUCCCUAGCAGGUCUGAGAGGGUGACCAGCCACACUGGAACUGAGACACGGUCCAGACGCCUACGGGAGGCAGCAGUGGUGAAUAUUGCACAAGGCGCGCAAGCCUGAUGCAGAAAUGCCGCGUGUAUGAAGAAGGCCUGCGGGUUGUAAAGUACUUUCAGCGGGGAGGCGUUACCCGCAGAAGAAGCACCGGCUAACUCCGUGCCAGCAGCCGCGGUAAUAC
rnacentral:rRNA from 1 species